rnacentral:lncRNA from 1 species
GGGAUUUGAGUGUCAUCUUGAAAAGCAUGAUGCACUUCACUGGUAAUUACUUGUUUCUGGUACUGAGGGGAAUCCAGGACAAUGCUAAAGAAGCAUUAGUAUCUUCUCAUAUCUACUUAAGUUUUGCACUUUUUAAUGCAAUUGUAUGUACACAAUUGGUUGAUCUCCAAUUUUGCAUGGCCCUCAGAAGAUCAUUUGCCUGUGCACUAUCAUUUGGAAGUGUAACAAUUGAAGUAUAUUAAGUACCAGGAAAGGAUUUUGAAUAUCUUAUGCCAUUAACAGUUUCUGAGUUGGAACAAAUUAUUGAAGUUGGCACAUGCACAUAGUUAUACAUUUGCAUGAAUUAGCAAAACCCUGCUCCAAAACCCUGGCUCCAAAACCCUGGCUCCAAAGGUGAAUAUGAACUAAUUUAAAUUGCUCGAGAGCAUAUCUUCUGUCUUAUAGUUUGUGUCACUCCAUGUGCCAUGAGCUUGUGAUUGGUCAGAAAAAAAUAUAUUUAAGUUAAAAUUUCAUUAUUAAAUAUUUUUCUGAUCAAUCACAAACUCAUGGUAUAUUGAGUGGUACACAUUGUGAGACAGCAGAUGUGUACCCAAAUUGCUCAGUCUGUUGAAGUUUUUGCUUAUGUGGAUUUGGUCUUGAUUUUGUAUAAUCACAAGUGGGUUUACAAAUACUUUUUAACUACAUAUGUUUGGGGUCUUGAUGCUUUGGAAGCCCUUUGCUGGAGGAAUGUGAAAUACACAGUAGUCCCAGCAAUGCUAGAUUACAAAGCUUGUUAGGAUUUUUGAAAUGCUUUUCUUUCCUAUUAUAACACAAUAGUCCCAGCAAUGCUAGAGAUUUCCAAUUCUGUUGGUUUUUCAUUUGAUUCUUUUCAUGCAAAUAAAACUUACAUGCUUUCCUAGGCUUUUUAGAUCCCCAUGCUUGCAAGUGGUUGGAGCGUGAGCUUGGUGGUGCAACGGUAAGAUUGUUGCUUAUUGACAAUGAGCUUAUGGAUUCAAAUCCUAGAAAUAGUCUAUGCUUAUAGGGUAAGGUUGCGUACAUCUGCCCCUUCAGACUCCACUAAGUGGGAGUCUAGUGCUCUGGGUCACCCUAUGCUUGCAAGUAGUUGGCAUGGGAAAUGGAUUCAGUGACGGGGGCGGAAAAGUCAUCAUGACCUUUUUGCGAUAAGCACCGAUGGAUGAAAAUCAGAUGUCUUAAAUUCCAAUGUGUUAUGUUAACAUUUUCUGACAUCAGAAUCUAAGCUAUCUGGUUUUGAUCCAAUGGUAGUGAUGGACCUAAGUUAUGGUGACAUUUUGCCACUGAACCUAGUUGUUCUAUUGGCAUCAAGUAGGUUUUCAUUUAAUUAUUCUUCACAAGGUAAGAAAUGUGUACUGACUUGUUAAAGUUUUAGUUUCCAGUUUGUUCUCAUUGUUUCACUGCAGGGUGUAAACUCUCCUCAAGUUCUUGUUUGGUAACUCAUCUAAUGCAUUGAACCGAUGAUGUAAAAACUGUACCGUACUGACCGGUUUAACCGGAAAACCGAUCCCCUAAUCAGUACGGUACAGAUGUUGAACUGGCCAAGUAUCAAAAUCGGUCAAAACCAGUGAACCGGCCGGUAUUUGACUAAACCGGCCGGUUUAUACACAAUUUCUAUGCCUUUUUAUUUUAUUUACAUUUUAGUUUGACCCUUGGUUUUUGUAAAUCAAUGUUAAGUUAAUUGUAUAUGUUGAAGCAUUCAAAGAUAUAUGCUUUUCUAUACUAAUAAAAUGGCGUUAGAAUUGAGUAUUCUUA